GACGUAGGACGCGAGCGUUGUCCGGAAUUAUUGGGCGUAAAGAGCUCGUAGGCGGCUUGUCGCGUCGACUGUGAAAACCCGUGGCUCAACCAUGCGGUCUGCAGUCGAUACGGGCAGGCUAGAAUUCGGUAGGGGAGACUGGAAUUCCUGGUGUAGCGGUGAAAUGCGCAGAUAUCAGGAGGAACACCGGUGGCGAAGGCGGGUCUCUGGGCCGAUAUUGACGCUGAGGAGCGAAAGCGUGGGGAGCGAACAGG
rnacentral:rRNA from 1 species